GUACAGCCGAAACAGAAGAAACCAAACCGACUGGUACCCAGGCUAGGGUUGUACAGCCGAAACAGAAGAAACCAAACCGACUGGUACCCAGGCUAGGGUUGUACAGCCGAAACAGAAGAAACCAAACCGACUGGUACCCAGGCUAGGGUUGUACAGCCGAAACAGAAGAAACCAAACCUUAUUUGGAAUGAUAUUCACAUUGCUCAUGGUGGGAUAGGAGUUGUUUUUCUCAAAAUUAUAUUAUUUAUUUCAAUAAAAUCUGUGAAGUGAAAUAAGUUGAAGACUUCAAUAAAUGACGUUGUACAGUAUAAUGAUAGGUAUUUAAUGUGUAUUUCCUACUGAGGAGGUCUAUCCUAUACAGUAUAAUGAUAGGUAUUUAAUGUGUAUUUCCUACUGAGGAGGUCUAUCCUAUACAGUAUAAUGAUAGGUAUUUAAUGUGUAUUUCCUACUGAGGAGGUCUAUCCUAUACAGUAUAAUGAUAGGUAUUUAAUGUGUAUUUCCUACUGAGGAGGUCUAUCCUAUACAGUAUAAUGAUAGGUAUUUAAUGUGUAUUUCCUACUGAGGAGGUCUAUUCUCUACAGUAUAAUGCUAGGUAUUUAAUGUGUAUUUCCUACUGAGGAGGUCUAUUCUAUACAGUAUAAUGAUAGGUAUUUAAUGUGUAUUUCCUACUGAGGAGGUCUAUCCUAUACAGUAUAAUGAUAGGUAUUUAAUGUGUAUUUCCUACUGAGGAGGUCUAUCCUAUACAGUAUAAUGAUAGCUAUUCUAAUGUGUGUCUUGUGUCACAAUGCCAUCAUCCAAUAGCUGAAGACAUGGGCGGACCUAAACCAUCCAUCCACUCUGCCACUAAAUUGAACCACUCCACAAUAAACUGCAAAUGCAUCCCUCACUCUCUCUCUCUCUCUCUCUCUCUCUCUCUCUCUCUUCUCUCUUCAAUGUCUGUCAUAUUCCACUUAUACGCAUCAUAAUGCCGGCAGCAGGAUUUAAUUAUUGGAUAGAAAAUACAUUGGGACUCUGUUAGAACAGACUGGAGUUAUUCCCAACCUGUCCUUCAAUCUGGGACAUUAGAACAGACUGGAGUUAUUCCCAACCUGUCCUUCAAUCUGGGACAUUAAAACGGACUGGAGUUAUCCUCAACCUGUCAUUCAAUCUGGGACAUUAGAACGGACUGGAGUUAUCCUCAACCUGUCCUUCAAUCUGGGACAUUAGAACGGACUGGAGUUAUUCCCAACCUGUCCUUCAAUCUGGGACAUUAGAACGGACUGGAGUUAUUCCCAACCUGUCCUUCAAUCUGGGACAUUAGAACGGACUGGAGUUAUUCCCAACCUGUCCUUCAAUCUGGGACAUUAGAACGGACUGGAGUUAUUCCCAACCUGUCCUUCGAUCUGAACUGGGACGUUAGGGAUUAGAGAGAUGCGAGGAGACAGUGUUCUUUUCAGUGUUAUUGACAUGGAAAACAAAAUAGUUUUGUGAAAACCUCGUGUUGUGAUAUUGAUGUUUGCCGGCAGCGUGUGAUGGGGAGGUCCGUCUGCUGGUCCUGGUUAGGAGUGUUGGUUGUCAACCUGAGUCCCAGCUGCUCUGCUGUCGUCCUGGACUCCGCAGCGUGUGAUGGGGAGGUCCGUCUGCUGGUUCUGGUUAGGAGUGUUGGUUGUCAACCUGAGUCCCAGCUGCUCUGCUGUCGUCCUGGACUCCGUCUAUUGGAAUUCUUCAAAUCCCAAGUCGGUACAGUCGAUUCUUGUGCAAAAACUCACCUGGAAAUAUACUGGAAAUAAAUACCUGUUAUAUUGUCAAAAUGUUGGCUUUUCAUUUACAUUAUCGACAUAGAUUAAAUAUGGAUAUUUUUGAAGUAGUGUUUCUGUGGUCUCAGAUUUUUGUUGUUGAUAGUAAAUUCAUUGGCGUGUUUAUUUAUUGAUGAUUAUUAAUUAGUAAAUAAUAUGAAUGUCUAUUAGGCUGAUAUGCAACAACAAAGAAACUACUAGUGUUACUAUGACACAAUAAAGACAACAUCCCAGUCAUUCUGGUUGGAAAACUCUCAUCUCCCUCUCUCUCUGUCUCUCUCUGUCU